GCCGACACCACUCAUCUCUCUCUCUUCUCUCUUCUUUCCCCUUUCCCCUGCGUCUGGUUUUCUUAAUUUUUUUUUUACUAUUUUUUCUUUUUGGCUCCUCUUUCCUCACCACUCAACUCUGCAACAACCCAAAUCGAGAAGAAGAUCGAUUUUCAACUAUUAAUUUGUCUGUUUUGAAUUUGUUUUACAAAACCCGGUUUUCUGGCCGGUUUCCGGUUUUGUUGGUUCGACCGCGGUUUUCCCGGUUCUCAGUGUUUGACCCGGGUUUUAGGCAUUUUCGGUUUUAUGCAUAGAACCGGACCGGAUGACCAGCCGGUUCCCGGUUUAACCGGUCGAAUCGGCCGGUCCG
rnacentral:lncRNA from 1 species